ensembl:lncRNA
GUAUAACAAAGGAAGCCAGACUGACUGUGUGAUAGAUAAACCAAUGGGCUUACCUAUCUGAAGAGCAAUCAAAAUGAAUAUCGAAAGCAGCAGCUUCCAGAAAUAUCCUGAAGGCAUGAGAGGGCUAUUUUUCCUGGGCACAAUAUAAUUACACAAUACCACUAUGAGAAAGACAGUUCCUGUAUUUAAAUUAUCCUUCCAGAUGUAGAUUUGCCACAGUAGCUUUAUUAAGGCAAUCAGAAAUUAAUACUCUAAGUCAUCUUGAGAGCCCAAUUCAGCCAAGGCUUUCAUCCUGUUGACAUCAAAGGAGUCAGUCAGUGAGUGUUGUCUGCUCCAUCAGUCUCAGAGGAGCAGGAGGGAGAGACAAAAGGCUUACAAGAUAUCAUGGAAGGCACGAUGGCUUGUUUAUAGAAUAAACACAACUAACACGCUUAAACUCCAUCAGUCAGACCUCGGUUGACCUGAAACCUUGAAAAUUUUACUCUUGGCUUCCACUAACCAAAGAACUCCUCUUCUGCUGCUGGGGAAUUAGAAAGGAGGGGCAGAAGGAAGUGAGAGUACCUCAGCAAACAGCUCAACUGACAUUGAAAACACAUGUUUAACAGAGAUCAGAAACGCAUAAAGCACUUUAGAUAAACCCAUGAGGCAUGGCAAGAUGUUUUGUUACAGGUGGAAAAUCUUUCGUUCUCACUGAUGAAGCAAAACUGGAACUGAGCAUACUUUGCACAAAUGCAUUUUAAACACACAGUGUGGAUGGUAUGAAAUUUUUCCCAGUUUUUUUCUUCUCAGUACUGUAAAACUCAACUUAAGUAACUGUUUAAAGAAAAAACAGAUUAUGAGGAAAAUCCUGAGAGUUUAACUCACGCAAAGUAGAGACGUGUAAUGAAGAGCUUGAAUGCUGGAGAACAUCCUAUUUGUGCACACAGCAACAUGAGCAACCUGAAGAGCAGACUGAACCUGGGAGAGGAAGGUAACUGGCAUUGCAACGCCAGAGCCUGCUGCUGCUGAAAGGCAGCUGAAGCAACACUGCAGGCUCUGAGUUAAAAAUAACAACAUAUUUCUUUUAACAAAACCUAAUACCUUAUCACACCAAUAAGAACAAAUGUAGAAAAAUAGUUGCUAUUCAAGAGAUAGUCAUAUCAACUCCUGUAAAAUUGUACGCAAGGAAUUUUAAAGAAGGAAAAACAAGCAUCCCGUGCAAUAUCUUUAGGUCCAAAUAGCCUGAAAAAAUCAGUUUGAAAUUGUCUGAAAGGAGCUGUGUACAGCGUAUAAUGCUCAGUAUUACUAAUCAGUAAAGUGGUUAACCUGCACGUUCGUUACACAACAGAAGAGUUUGAGCACACAAAAGCAGUUGGUCAGUUCAUCUCUUCUAAUUUCUGUUGUGUUUGGCACUUUGUUUAUGUUUAUUUCAAGUGCAGCCAUUUAUAAUGUCAUAAGCAUAAGUCUUACAGACAUUCUUGUGGCGCAGCACAGACCAGCUCUCGGACAGCAUUAGCAUGGCUCCCUGAAAAGCAAUUACUGAUAUGCAAACUCUUUUUAUCACAGUUUUCUUACAGUCAAAAUUAAUUUCUUUUGUGUGAGAACUGGCCAUUUACCAGACAAAACUUCAUGUUUUUCAAAGAACACAUUACCAGAAAUCUAAUUACUGUUGUGUUUUUUUUUCCCCUAAUGUAGAUUACCAGAAAUCUAAAUCAUCUUUCUAUGUUGUUUUUUUUUUUUUUUUCCUUAAAACCCGAAACAUCUCAGGAUUGUCCCUGUGGUGGUUCAUGAAAACUAUAGCUGUCUCCAGUGCCCUCUGUUUCCCAGGUUUCCUAUCUGGGCAAGAUAUAAUACGAUGAGUCCCACAACAGGUCAGUAAAAGGGAAAAGCACACCAAGGGAGGAGCGGCUUGUUUAAGAAGCCCACACAGCUGAAGAGUUUGGAGUAUGAGGCAUGCAGACUACUGGUCUCAUGAGACACUUGAGGAGACUGGGCCUGUGUGAGGGCGUGCGGCCUGCGCAGUGGGUCAGGCACUGGGAUAGUGAUUCUUCACAGUGUGCAGCACAUCACUCAGCCAUACUCACACCUACAGCCUCAGGCAAGAGCAGGAUUCUGGAAAAUUCACUUUAUUUGCAAAUGCGCAUAGGGCAGAUUGACCAGGCACAACACAGAAAAGUAUCACUUGGACACAGACCAUCAUGUGUCUGCCUAAGACAACAGUAAAAAAUACAACGGUCAGGUGAGAUUGCUGACUCCCUUGUAUCUUGGUUUUAAAAUAUAAUACCAGUAUUGACUUCAGAUCUUGCUCGAUUGACUUUAAUUUGAGCCAGGCCUCUACAGAAAGCUGUUGCCCGGGUAACAAAUGCUGUGCACCAUAAUAAGGCAAAUUGCUGUUGAAAUAAAUAAUAAUUAUGGCCCAGGUUUCAAGAGUAUUCUCUUUCCCUUUAUUUUAAUCUUGCCCUGGGCAAGGCUGUGGACACUGGCUUUGCUGUGAGGGCAGAACAUGCACUCCCUCCUCUGCUCCCAUUGCACCCCUGGUCAUGCACAUAUGGAGACUUUCAAAAUUGUAUUUAUUUCCUCAAGGGUACAUCAAUACCAAGUGCAAAUACCAAGAGAAAGAGCUGCUCUUAUUCGGGCUCAGUGUCUCUCACCAGAGGGCUCACAGAGAAGUACUGCCAGCUGUGGCUCACCAGGACCUCGAGUCCUCUCCUGCACCCUGCAGAGCUCUGCCCUUGUGCACCAGCUCACAGCCUUGGGCACAGGGGCUGUUCAGCACACAUGGCUUUCCAUCUAACAGUUCAGUGAUUCACAGACAAGUAUGAGCUCGAAGGAGGGCAAGGGGUGACAUGCUGUCAUGCCUACCAUACAGUUUGCACUCAGAAAGUAUUUGCACUAGAAAAGCAGACAUUGAAGGGAAUCUGGGUGGAUGUUUUCACUUUUUCCCUUCUUCCCCAGUCUUUGUUGAGUAUGGCCCUCUCAUCACCUAACAUAACCAGCCACUAUCUGGCUAUGCUGUGGUUGAAAUAGGAAUGGGACACAACCAGCCACAGGAGGCAUACGUUCCCCCACAGCCCUUCCACAGCCCUACAUUCCAUCUUGCUUUUUCAUCACCAGGGGUCAGAGCAAGGAAGUCAACUGUCAAGUGUAUGUGUGAGAGGUAAGCUGCCAUGAGACUGCACAAGAGACCAUGUCCCCUCAUCACGGGUGGUAGCUAUCAGCAAACACCUGCACUGGAAGGCAGCACACAGCCUCCUUGCUUAGACCUGAUACCCACAUCAUGUUAGAACCGUGCUCAGAUUAUCACUCCACACAGUUCCUCUACAAUCUACGAGGUUUUCUUCUGCAGAGUACGGCACAGAGGACAGUCCUUCUAUUCAGCUAUAGAAGGUAUCUGUCUAGAAAAAGAGAUGGCAAGUCCAUCCAUAGAUAUUUUUUUGCUAGCUUUUACUGACACCAGUCCUACUGGCUUGUAAUGAAUUUUAAAGGCCAAGCUGAGAUCCUCUAAGCCUGGCAGCACUCUCAAGUGGUGGCACUCUCUAAAACAUCCCUCAGUGGAAUGAUCUUCCCGUGUCUGCCAGGACCCUGAGCCUCUGGGUGAGGGUGUGGGGAGUGGUUUCUGUCCCACUGUAAGAGUGGAACAAGUCUGAGACCUCCUAAUGAAAUUGAACGUAUGUAAGUCCAUGGGGCCGGGUGAUAUCCAUCCUUGGGUUCUGAAAGAGAUGGCUGAUGUGGAUGCCAAGCCACUCUCCAUCAUAUUUGAAAAAUCAUGGUUCUCUGGUGAAGUCCCCCGUGACUGGAAAAAUUGAAACAUUACUCCUAUUUUUAAGAAAGGGAGAAAGGAAGACCUAGGGAACUACAGGCUGGUGAGCCUCACCUAUGUGCCCGGGAAGAUCAUGGAGCAGAUCCUCCUAGAAGCCUUUGUUAGAGCACAUACGAGACAAAGAGGUGAUUCGAGACAGCCAGCAUGUCUUCACCAAGGGCAGAUCAUACCUGACCAGUCUGGUGGCCUUCUAUGAUGGAGUGACUACUUCGGUGGACGGGGGAAGGGCAAUGGAUGUCAUCUACCUGGACAUCUGCCUUUGACAUGGACCCUCAUCACAUCUUUCUCUCUAAAUUGGAGGGGUAUGGGUUUGAAGGAUGGACCAUUCCAUGAAUUAAGAAUUGGUUGGCUGGACACAGCCAAAGGGUUGUGAUCAAUGGUUCUGUGUCAGGGUGGAGGCCGGUCACAAGUGGUGUCCCUCAGGGGUCGGUCUUGGGACUGGUGCUCUUCAACAUCUUCAUCAGAAUGUGUAAGACCAGUCCUCCUCUUGGGUUCUCCAGCUUCAGAAGGAGCUGAGUCCAUAUGAAGACUCCUGCACAACUAUGUCUUCACAUUGUAUUUUCCAACAUGAUUCAGGUUUGGUCCAGACUCCUUUCAGAUGGAGGGCUGGGAGAUAUUGUGUGCAUCCUUACAUGCCUGUUCCCUAAUAAAAUUCACACACCUCUUCAGAAAUUCAAUAGGAGCAUUGAAAGCAAACUGACCUGCUGUAGCAGUCACUGUGGUGUAAGCUCUGGGCUUCUGCCCAGAAAAUGUGUGCUGCUCAGUCAGACUUUAAAAAGUCCAAGCUGAAAAUAAAAGAUUCAACUAUGGAAAGUGAAUUUUCACCUACUUUAGUUACUUUUUGAGACUACCAAAAAUGCACAGAACAUGGAUUCACUGCCCCCACUGAGAACGAAUGACAUUUUCUACAUCUAUCAGCCCAGCUUAUUUAAUGAGCCCUGAAACCACUUAAAAUGUGCGGGUGUGUGCAUGCAUGCAUGUCCUGGAGGGCAGGGAGGCAGAGGGAACCAGAGACAUCUUAUCAGAAAACACAGUCCGUUUGGCACACACAAUCUUAUCUAAUUAUUCAGAACAUUUAACAUCACCUAACUCCAGAUAAGAAUCUCUUUCCUCCUCCACCACCCUCUCUUUGCUGAAACUUAAUACACAGAGACUAACGCAGCACAAAACCAUCUCAUUGAACUUGGAGAUGCAAGAUGACAACUCAUGACCUUUGCCAUUGAGUGCCAGCCAAGUUACAUAUGUCUGGGAGUCUCAGGAGGCCAACAUUUGUCACCAGACUGACAGUGAAAUAUGGCUGAGCCCAUUGUUUCACAGAAGUGCAGCAGCAGCCUCAACCCAGGCUAGUGGUAGCGAGGGGCAGCUUGCAGGCUGUCACACAGUGUUCCCUGGGAGACCCUGAUGUGCUGUGCACUCUGGACAAUUCUUUGGGCCUGGGAGAGGACACAGCCAUCAGGAUGACGGGAAAGCUCGGAACGUCUUUGGAAACCAGGACCUUCAGCAUUGCCAACCCUGAAAGGGUGAACAAAUGUCAGGCUUUGAGAAAGUCUAUUACAGCUUGGAAGAAGAAAGUCCUCCCUCAGCAACGCAGUGUAUUUCUGCAGUAGGCUGCUACUUGUGAAUCUUGUGUUCUUCGGACUGGUGGUUGCUGACUCUCCUGUGCACAUUUCAUUUAGCCAAGGGAAAGAAACUCUGAAUCAGACUGUUUACUUGGGUGUAGCUGCUUCACCACUGUAAUGGCCAAAUUUGUCUUGUAGGCUUAGAAAAACAGCCAAAGGCCAAGCAGGCUGCCAUAUAGCUAUUAUUCAUCAUUUGGUGGCCAUAACCAAAUGGAUACAACUGCAGGGACAUUUUGCACUGUGUGAAAUAGGCGUGCACAAGGAUCAAGUAGCAGGAUGCUUAAUCUGAUUUCUGCUGUGUGGGAAAGUUCUGCCUCCAAUUACUAUCUUCACAACGAGGACUGAGUUUAACUGACUCCUGAAUUAAUAUCCCUCAACCAUUUACAUUUGGAGAUACGUUUUAAAACAAUCCUGCCUUUCCACAUUUCUGCAGAUGAGAAUAUGGGAACCUAUCUGCAGCCAUUUGUGAUGACAGUGGUCCUUUUCUGUAAGCUGAAGUGAAGCUGCAAGCCAUAUGCAAUCAGAUCAACAUUCUGUUGCCAGCAGUAUUUUCCCAAGCAGUGACGAUCUCUGCCCCUGCUACUCUAACAACUACAUUGCUGGAUCAUCUGAAGAAAGGUUCUCUCGCUUCUCCCCUGUCUGAGGAUACUUUCGAUCACAGUGAGUCCACAGGUUCCACCCUCACUCCCCUCCAAAAAAAAAGAGAAGGAAAUCUCUCCAGAUUGUUCAUGGGAAAUGAGGUGGGUUGAUCCCAGCUCUUGUCAUCACCAAGCUUUCCAGGCUUUCAGACAUCAGACAGUACCAUGAAGUUGUACUUUUCUUUCUUUUAGCAUCCUAAACUGCCAGGUUUAUCUCGCUUCUGAUUCUGUACUUGAAAAUGUACCAGCAGAUAUGCAUUGAUACAAGAAUAAAAGCAUUAAUUCUAAGUGCAAAUAUUUGUAUUUCUGCUUCUAAGCACUGUAGUAUUUGACUGCUAAAAUUAAAGACUCAAGUGUUCAUCCAAGGCUAUUGCAGCGCAGUAUGAAUACAAGCUUUCUUCUUUGUUUUCCCAGCAACCUUAACCAUUCUCUUUCUAGAAGCAAAAUUUCUUCUACAAUUUUCUAUUCGUAGAUGCCUCUAUGAUUUCUGGCUCACUACAGGAGUACUGCUGCGCUAAGUCCAGUAGGAACUCUCUUUUUAUAUGUGAAAGACUGACCACUCCUCUUUUUUGUGUUUUGCCAUCUGACAUUGUAGAGUAGAGGAACGAGGGUGUUUUUUUCAUGAUUUUUAAUUGUUUUGUCUUGGUCAUCUGUCCUUUUUUAAAAAAAAAAUAAACAGUUAUUAAUCA